UACGAAGGGGGCUAGCGGUGCUCGGAAUCACUGGGCGUAAAGCGCACGUAGGCGGCUUUCUAAGUCAGGGGUGAAAUCCUGGAGCUCAACUCCAGAACUGCCUUUGAUACUGGGAAGCUCGAGUCCGGAAGAGGUGAGUGGAACUCCGAGUGUAGAGGUGAAAUUCGUAGAUAUUCGGAAGAACACCAGUGGCGAAGGCGGCUCACUGGUCCGGUACUGACGCUGAGGUGCGAAAGCGUGGGGAGCGAACAGG
rnacentral:rRNA from 1 species